AUGGAGCGCCGUCUACUCAAGGAUUUUGACCUUCAACCCAAAAAUCCUUUCGUCGAAGCUCUUCGAAUAUGGAGAUCCACCGUCACUCUCAUUAAGAACCACCGUAGGCGGUUUCGCAUGGUUGUCGAUCUUAAAAAACACUUUGAAGCUGAACAGAUUAAGCACGGAAUCAAGAUUUCUUUCUCUUCUCCUUUCCCUAACCUUAUCAGUAAUAGGAAAACAAACUCAUGUUCAAACUUUUAUAUUAUUAUAUUUUCAGAGUUGAAUUAG